rnacentral:rRNA from 1 species
GUAAUCGCGAAUCAGCAUGUCGCGGUGAAUACGUUCCCGGGCCUUGUACACACCGCCCGUCACACCAUGAGAGUUGGCAAUACCCAACGUACGUGAUCUAACCCGCAAGGGAGGAAGCGUCCUAAGGUAGGGUCAGCGAUUGGGGUGAAGUCGUAACAAGGUAGC